ensembl:lncRNA
GGAUGGAAUACAUUUUUCCAGGCAGUUCCGGAUUGGAAAGACAAAGCCCAACAAGAGCGGGAGGACAGGGACACAGGAUCUGUGCCGCUGACGGACUUUACUUCGUAAAAACAAUCUUCUGGUAGUGACGCAAGAACAUAAUUAUCGUUAAUCGUUGUUGUAUUGUACGAAUAUUUUGUAUUUAUAUCUUGAAUUGCCGACUCUAUAAGUUCUUUCGUUCCGUUUGUGUCUGCCAUCAUAGCCAGUCUUUGUGUCAUCAUAGUAACCAUAGUUACCACGCUGCGAUGUACGCGGUGUGUUUUGACGCAAUAGUGAUGGGCAAAUGAAGCUUUUAUGAAGCAUCGAACCAGUUGAGCCAAAUGUUUCGAAAAUGGGUUCAUUGCUCGAAGCUUCAGUGACAGUGACCUCUGCUGGCGAAGUUCG